rnacentral:rRNA from 1 species
UACGUAGGGGGCAAGCGUUGUCCGGAAUCAUUGGGCGUAAAGCGCGUGUAGGCGGUUCGGUAAGUCUGCUGUGAAAGUCCAGGGCUCAACCCUGGAAUGCCGGUGGAUACUGUCGGGCUAGAGUUCGGAAGAGGCAAGUGGAAUUCCUGGUGUAGCGGUGGAAUGCGCAGAUAUCAGGAGGAACACCUAUAGCGAAGGCAGCUUGCUGGGACGACACUGACGCUAAGGCGCGAAAGCGUGGGGAGCGAACAGG